rnacentral:rRNA from 1 species
CCUACGGGAGGCAGCAGUAGGGAAUCUUCCGCAAUGGACGAAAGUCUGACGGAGCAACGCCGCGUGAGUGAUGAAGGCUUUCGGGUCGUAAAACUCUGUUGUUAGGGAAGAACAAGUGCUAGUUGAAUAAGCUGGCACCUUGACGGUACCUAACCAGAAAGCCACGGCUAA